AUCUUUGCGCACGGGCAACAUCGUAGGAAAUGAGGUGCAAACCGAUCCACGAUAAUUGCUGAUUGAAAACUAUUCCGAACCCCCAGUUGUCACCUCUGCUUGCAAGUGCCAACUGAAUUUCUGGCACCCAUUUUGG
rnacentral:snRNA from 1 species